rnacentral:tRNA from 1 species
GCGGUCGUGGUGGAAUUGGCAGACACACCAUCUUGAGGGGGUGGCGGGGUGACCCGUGCGAGUUCGAGUCUCGCCGACCGCA